UCCAAACGAUGGAACACUUUGAUC
rnacentral:siRNA from 1 species